AUCUCGGUCGUGCAGUGGUAGAGCACGCAUUUCCGUAUAGUAUGAAACGCGGGUUCGAUUCCCGCCUGAGGCC